GGAAUGGGUAAAGCUGGAAUAAACUCAGAACAGGCGGUGGCUGUCUUUGAAAACUUGUGCAAGGAAACUAGAAUACUGGAAGGCAACACAGUGUCAUUAACUUAAACAGGAAUUGAGGAGUUCAGACAGGAGUUGCAGACCAGCCAUCUCAGCUCCGCUUCCUGCAAAAAUUCUGGAAGAAAUAACCAAACUAUUUGCAAGCACUUAGAGGAUGACAAGGAAAUGAAAAACUAACAAACUGUACGGAUUUGUCAGAAGAAGCCUUGUCUCUCCAAAGCACCAACUUCUGUGACAGAGUAACAGCUGUGGACAGGGCCAAAGCAGCAGAUGCCACAUAUCCUGAUUUUAGGGAGGUUUCUGACAGUCUCGCAUGGCUUCUUUGUUUAAAAGCAUGCUGAGGAAGUGUGGGUUAGGUGAGUGUAGGUGUAUGUCUGAAGAAUUGUAUUUAGGGCGUACUUAUUGGUGUGAAAAUGGAGGGAGAUGUGAAAGGAGGUUUGGCAGGGGCCUGCCCUGACCUAGGCUCUUUGCAGUGUUUGCUGUAAUGAGCUGAAUCAUGAAGCAGAGUGUGCUUCCGGAACUUUCAGGCAACAGAAACCUGUGAGAUGUUGGGUACGUUCCACGGUGGGAGUGCAAUUCAUAGUAAUCUGACAAAGGAGUGAGAUGACCUCAGGAGAACUGUAUGAAGUUGUGCAGGACAGCUGCAGAUGGGCAUGAGAGGUGCUGCGUGUUACCCGUGUGUAGUUUCUCAGCCAGCUACCCCGCUGUUGGUUUCAGACCUCGUCACCCUUCUGCUCUGAGAACCGAUGUGAUUUUAGUGUGCUUUUGCAAAUGAAUAUUAAAGUAGAUUUGGUGAAAAAGAAAAAAAGAGAAAUUGCUCGAGGCACAGAUAAGAAAAUUCAUUUGUGUGAGAUAAGUGUAUUUCUUUAGAGAACUUACGUCCAGGUACCUUGCAGAGCUUUAUUUACGUUCUCUGCAAACAGACGUGCUGACAACAAAAGCAAAAGAGAGGAGAGUUCCAGAAGUCAUUGCUAAGCUGUGCUGUGGUACUGCAGCCCGGACGCUGUGCACACUGAUGGCUGUGUUAAGCAGGAGCAGCAAAAGGAGAAGUUUUGUCAGAAACAAAAUCUGUGUUUUCCUACUGAUUUCAAUAGCUUUUUGAAAAUAUAAUUUCUAAAGUAAACUUAAUGUACAUAUAAUGUAAAUGUAAUAAGUAAACUCAUUUUUUUUCAUUUCUAAUUCAAGCAAAGCUCUUACUCAGAUUAAUCAUGGUUUUGACAACGUGAUUGACUUAUAACAAAAACACUUUCAAUAGCUUUAAUACCUGUUCAAUUAAUGCUCCUUAUUCUCCUUUCUGAAUGGCACCAGGACUGCAAAAGUUAAAAAAAAAAAAAAAAAAAAAAAAAAAAAGUCUCCAACUGUUCCCUCCGCACAGUGCCGUUGUUUUCUGACCUUCAUCUCUUCUUCAAAAUGUUGUUUUCCCUACUGAAUCCUGAGGUUGAUCAGCAGGAUUUGAUGCAGUACAAACCACGACUUCCUGCAAAACCUUCCUGUUGAACGCUGUGUCCAACGGGAAGCCGUGGUGUGCUGUGCUGUGCUGACUGGCAGGCACUGCCUUGUGGGUUCUGAAGCAAAUGGCAUUGCAGAGUAGAAUGCAAAUGCAAAGGUAAUCACCAGACCAUUUUUUUUUGUCUUCUUCCGAGGCAUCUGGGGUGAACCCAUGUGAGACAGGAUGCCAGCAGUGAGGAAGCAUCGUUCUUUCUUCGUGUGCUUCGUAUCUUACAUAUGAGCUUUGUACCUAAUAUGUUUGUUUGAUAGAGAUUUCCCAUUGUGCACAGAAAACAGCAAACAGAGAGGUAUUCUACAACUGAAUUUUCACUUCAGACUGAUCCCCGAAGAGGAUUCACUAAAUGUCCAAACCCUUACCAUUGCUGUUGUGGAGAGACUUUUUUUGGAAGUGGAAAUAUAAAAUUACUAUUUUUGUUGCUCCACUCUGUUCUUUUUGGUGCUGUACGUCCCCCAUCACAAUAACCCAUCCUGGUUUGCUAAUAGCAGGAAUCCUUCCAAACUGUUUCAGCUUUGUGU
rnacentral:lncRNA from 1 species